rnacentral:rRNA from 1 species
UGGGGGAUAUUGCACAAUGGGCGAAAGCCUGAUGCAGCGACUCCGCGUGGGGGAUGAAGGCCUUCGGGUUGUAAACUUCUUUUGCUCUGAACAAGGCAUGCCGUUGGGGUGUGUUGAGUGUAGGGGUUGAUUAGCGCCGGCUAACUACGUGCCAGCAGCCGCGGUAAUACGUAGGGCGCGAGCGUUGUCCGGAAUUAUUGGGCGUAAAGGGCUUGUAGGUGGCUGGUUGCGUCUGUCGUGAAAGCUCAUGGCUUAACUGUGGGUUUGCGGUGGGUACGGGCUGGCUUGAGUGCAGUAGGGGAGGCUGGAAUUCCUGGUGUAGCGGUGGAAUGCGCAGAUAUCAGGAGGAAUACCGGUGGCGAAGGCGGGUCUCUGGGCUGUUACUGACGCUGAGGAGCGAAAGCGUGGGGAGCGAACAGG